rnacentral:lncRNA from 10 species
CAGGGCUGCCAGAGCAAACCAACAGCGUGAUGCAGACCAGGCAUGGGAGUCAUAAAGUGCACGCUUCUAGUGGAAUGGAAGAUGCUCGAGUGGGAGCUGUUUCAUGGCAAAUUAAUGUUUACUCGCUCCUGAAGCCAUUUGUGACUACAACUUCUGGCUUAGAGGAACUAAGGAGUUCCUCCAUCGGUUGAAAGAUGCCCACCCACACUGAGGACAGUCAUCUGCUCUGCUGAGUUCAGCAAUUCAAAUAGUGAUCUCUUCUGGAAAUAUCCUCACAAACACACUCAGAGAUAAAUGCUUUUUCCAGCUGUCUGGAUAUCCCUUAUCCCAGUCAAGUGGAUAUAUAAAAUUAGCCACCAUAGAAGCCUAUCCUAUGGAUCCUUUUGCAACUUAUUUUUUCAUUUGACACUAUACUUUUUACAUUUAUUCACAUCGAUACUUAUAACUCUUGGUCUUUAUAAUUGCAUGAACCAAUUGCUAUAAUAAAUCUUCAGAACUGC